rnacentral:rRNA from 1 species
AUUGAACGCUGGCGGCAGGCCUAACACAUGCAAGUCGAACGAGUGGCGGACGGGUGAGUAAUGUCUGGGAAACUGCCUGAUGGAGGGGGAUAACUACUGGAAACGGUAGCUAAUACCGCAUACCAUCAGAAGUGCCCAGAUGGGAUUAGCCAGUUGGUGGGGUAACGGCUCACCAAGGCGACGAUCCCUAGCUGGUCUGAGAGGAUGACCAGCCACACUGGAAAUGAUACACGUUCCAAACUCCUACGGGAGGCAGCAGUGGGGAGUAUUGCGCAAUGGGCGCAAGCCUUAUGCAGCCAUGCCGCGUGUAGGAAGAGGGCCUUCGGGUUGUAAAGUACUUUCAGCGGGGGGGCGUUACCCGCAGAAGAAGCACCGGCUAACUCCGUGCCAGCAGCCGCGGUAAUAC